rfam:Operophtera brumata OBRT01_Sc00285, whole genome shotgun sequence.
UGCCCCAUUAAUGGUGCAGACGUAACUGGUUAGUUACGUUUGCACCAUUAAUGGUGCAGACGUUACUAGUUAGUUAUGUUUGCACCAUUGAUUGAUAGGAAACAGACCGAUUAAAAAAC